rnacentral:sRNA from 1 species
UAAAUAACGUACUGCGCAAUGUUGGAA